rnacentral:rRNA from 1 species
CUGGGUCACUUGAAUACAGAAGAGGAAAGUGGAAUUCCAUGUGUAGCGGUGAAAUGCGUAGAUAUAUGGAGGAACACCAGUGGCGAAGGCGACUUUCUGGUCUGUUAUUGACGCUGAGGCUCGAAAGCAUGGGUAGCAAACAGGAUUAGAUACCCUGGUAGUCCAUGCCGUAAACGAUGAGUGCUAGGUGUUGGGGGGCUUCCACCCCUCGGUGCCGAAGUUAACGCAUUAAGCACUCCGCCUGGGGAGUACGGCCGCAAGGCUUAAACUCAAAGGAAUUGACGGGGACCCGCACAAGCGGUGGAGCAUGUGGUUUAAUUCGAAGCAACGCGAAGAACCCUACCAGCUCUUGACAUCUUCUGACAACUCUAGAGAUAGAGUGUUCCCUUCGGGGACAGAAUGACAGGUGGUGCAUGGUUGUCGUCAGCUCGUGUCGUGAGAUGUUGGGUUAAGUCCCGUAACGAGCGCAACCCUUGUUGCCAGUUGCCAGCAUUUAGUUGGGCACUCUGGCGAGACUGCCGGUGACAAACCGGAGGAAGGUGGGGAUGACGUCAAAUCAGCAUGCCCCUUAUGAGCUGGGCUACACACGUGCUACAAUGGAUGGUACAGCGAGUCGCUAAACCGCGAGGUCAAGCUAAUCUCCUAAAGCCAUUCUCAGUCCGGAUUGCAGGCUGCAACUCGCCUGCAUGAAGCCGGAAUCGCUAGUAAUCGUGGAUCAGAACGCCACGGUGAAUACGUUCCCGGGUCUUGUACACACCGCCCGUCACACCACGAGAGUUCGUAACACCCGAAGUCGGUCGAGCAACUUUAUAGAGCCAGCCGCCGAAGGUGGGAUGGAUGAUUGGGGUGAAGUCGUAACAAGGUAACCGUA